GGUGGAAAGUUGUACCGCU
rnacentral:miRNA from 1 species